GACUGGCGCGUCGCCGAAAGCAGCCGCCUGCUCGGCCGGGGGCGUUACCGAACCCCGCCUCCCCGCGUACGUGACCCACAGCGUCACACGGGGCCCGCCUCCCCGCCGGGGGGCGUGACGCGGCUCACGGAGGCCGGGCCGAGCCGGGCGGAACCUCUGGGCGCGCGGCGGCGUUUCCGGAGGGACGCCGAGGGCGACACCGGGGUCCGCGGGUGACGGGUCCCCCGCGCGGGCCCGCGUUCCGGCAUGAAGUUUCGGGCCAAAAUCGUGGACGCGGCCUGUCUGAACCACUUCACGCGAGUCAGCAACAUGAUAGCCAAGCUGGCCAAAACCUGCACUCUGCGCAUCAGCCCGCGUCACCUGAACUUCAUCCUCUCCGACAAGGUGGCCAGUGGAGGGGUGAGCAUGUGGUGUGAGCUGGAACAGGAGAACUUCUUCAACGAAUUUCAAAUGGAAGGUGUGUCAGCAGAAAACAAUGCGAUUUAUUUAGAGCUGACAUCAGAGAAUCUGUCUCGAGCCUUGAAAACUGCCCAGAAUGCCAGAGCCUUGAAAAUCAAGCUGACUAAUAAACACUUUCCCUGCCUCACCGUCUCCAUAGAGCUGUUAUCUGUGUCGAGCAGUAGUCGCAUUGUAACCCACGAUAUCCCCAUAAAGGUCAUUCCUAGGAAACUGUGGAAGGAUUUACAGGAACCGACAGUCCCAGACUGUGAUGUUAGUAUUUAUUUGCCAGUCCUGAAGACUAUGAAGAGCGUGGUGGAAAGAAUGAAAAACAUCAGCAACCACCUUAUAAUUGAAGCAAACCGAAAUGGGGACCUGAACUUGAAAAUAGAAUCUGAGCUAGUGUGUGUUACAACUCAUUUUAAAGAUCUGGGCAACCCUCCAUUUGCCUCUGAAAACGCCUCUCAAGACAGAAACCCAGCGCGCAUGGCAGAAGUGCACGUGGAUAUCAGGAAGUUCCUGCAGUUUCUUUCUGGACAGCAAGUGAACCCCACAAAGGCCAUCUGCAAUAUUGUCAGGAACAAGGUGGUUCACUUCGAUUUGCUCCAUGAGGACGUGUCCCUGCAGUAUUUCAUCCCAGCGUUGUCAUAGCAACGCCUGCUGGAUUGGGCACCUGGGAUCUCUGGCACCACUGGCCGGGACAGGCUGUCGGGUGAUGUGUUCUGUCGUUUGUCCUCGCAGCAGCGCAGAUUCUUUAAGUUAAAAAGGAGCAGAUCAGACAGGACGUGUACUGCCUGACCCCAGUGUGGAGAGCAGUAACGUGUACGUGUGCGUAUGAUCAGAAGACACGGGGGAAACACGCGCCCGCGUUGAAACUGGGUAAUUUCCGGAUGUUUUAUUUCAAUCCUUAUAAAUGUAAGUAUUUCCUAAAAGUUUUACAAUCAGCUUUGUACCAAAAAAUAAAGUAUUUUGUAAGG